AAGUCGUAACAAGGUUUCCGUAGGUGAACCUGCGGAAGGAUCAUUACCGAGUACCGGGUCUUUCAGGCCCUUACUCCCACCCUUAUGUUUACCAAACCAUUUAUUUCGUUGCCUUGGUGGUGUACUUUUUGUUUCCUUCGGGGGCAGAAGGUCCCACCAGGGGAACACCCCCUAAACUCUUGUUAAAAACCGAGUUGUCUGAGAAAAAAACAAAUGAAUUAAAACUUUCAACAACGGAUCUCUUGGUUCUG
rnacentral:misc_RNA from 1 species